rnacentral:rRNA from 1 species
UCGUACAGGUUUCCGUAGGUGAACCUGCGGAAGGAUCAUUAUCGAAUUAUAAGCAAAGGUUGUUGCUGGCCUCCUCGGGGGCAUGUGCACGCCCGAGCUCUUAAUCCACUUACACCUGUGAAUCCAAAAGUGGGGGUCGUCCCUUGGGGUGAUUCUCAUGUCUUUCAUAUACUCUUAUGCAUGUCUCGGAAUGUCUUUAUGUUGCCUAAGCGCAAUUAUAAUACAACUUUCAACAACGGAUCUCUUGGCUCUCGCAUCGAUGAAGAACGCAGCGAAAUGCGAUAAGUAAUGUGAAUUGCAGAAUUCAGUGAAUCAUCGAAUCUUUGAACGCACCUUGCGCCCUUUGGCUAUUCCGAAGGGCAUGCCUGUUUGAGUAUCAUGAACACCUCAACUCUCAUGGUUUGCCGUGAUGAGCUUGGACUUUGGGGGUUUUGCUGGCCUAUGGUCGGCUCUCCUCAAAUGGAUCAGCUUGCCAGUGUUUUGGUGGCGUCGCAGGUGUGAUAACUAUCUACGCUUGUGGACUCCCACUAGGCAACCUUCAUCACUGAAGGUUCGCUGGAGCUUAUAAACGUCUCUCUCAACGAGGACAGCAUUUUGAAGUUUGAUCUCAAAUCAGGUAGGACUACCCGCUGAACUUAAGCAACA